GACGAACGCUGGCGGCGUGCUUAACACAUGCAAGUCGAGCGGUAAGGCCUUUCGGGGUACACGAGCGGCGAACGGGUGAGUAACACGUGGGUGAUCUGCCCUGCACUCUGGGAUAAGCCUGGGAAACUGGGUCUAAUACUGGAUAUGACCUCAGCAUGCAUGUGCUGGGGUGGAAAGCUUUUGUGGUGCAGGAUGGGCCCGCGGCCUAUCAGCUUGUUGGUGGGGUAAUGGCCUACCAAGGCGACGACGGGUAGCCGACCUGAGAGGGUGACCGGCCACACUGGGACUGUGACACGGCCCAGACUCCUACGGGAGGCAGCAGUGGGGAAUAUUGCACAAUGGGCGGAGGCCUGAUGCAGCGACGCCGCGUGAGGGAUGAAGGCCUUCGGGUUGUAAACCUCUUUCAGCAGGGACGAAGCGUGAGUGACGGUACCUGCAGAAGAAGCACCGGCUAACUACGUGCCAGCAGCCGCAGUAAUAC
rnacentral:rRNA from 1 species